AGCAUGGAGGUAAGGCGUUUGCCUUUCAUGCAGAAGGAUGGUGGCUUGAAUCCCAGCAUCCCAUAUGGUCCCCCAUGCCUGCCAGGGGCGAUUUUCUGAGCAUAGAGCCAGGAGUAACCCCUGAGCGCUGCCAGUUGUGACCCAAAAGCCAAAAGAAAGAAAGAAAGAAAAA